CCUACGGGAGGCAGCAGUGGGGAAUUUUGGACAAUGGGCGCAAGCCUGAUCCAGCAAUGCCGCGUGAGUGAAGAAGGCCUUCGGGUUGUAAAGCUCUUUUGUCAGGGAAGAAACGGUGGGGGCUAAUAUCUCCUACUAAUGACGGUACCUGAAGAAUAAGCACCGGCUAACUACGUGCCAGCAGCCGCGGUAAUACGUAGGGUGCAAGCGUUAAUCGGAAUUACUGGGCGUAAAGCGUGCGCAGGCGGUUUUGUAAGUCUGUCGUGAAAGCCCCGGGCUCAACCUGGGAAUUGCGAUGGAGACUGCAAGGCUUGAAUCUGGCAGAGGGGGGUAGAAUUCCACGUGUAGCAGUGAAAUGCGUAGAGAUGUGGAGGAACACCGAUGGCGAAGGCAGCCCCCUGGGUCAAGAUUGACGCUCAUGCACGAAAGCGUGGGGAGCAAACAGGAUUAGAUACCCUGGUAGUCCACGCCCUAAACGAUGUCUACUAGUUGUCGGGUUUUAAUUAACUUGUAACGCAGCUAACGCGUGAAGUAGACCGCCUGGGGAGUACGGUCGCAAGNUUAAAACUUNAAAUGAAUUGACGGNUUGAGACGNGCGAGNGACACGAGGAGAG
rnacentral:rRNA from 1 species